CCCUUGAAAUGCUAUGAACACCUAACUGGUACCGAUCUGAUUCUACUUGACUGACAACAGAUCAAGAAAGUGUGAGUGACAGGCGAACAACAUAUAUAAACUUCAAAACAACAAAAAAAGGACUAAAAAGCUUCAAAACACAUGAUUCAGAAUGAUAACUUACAUGUUUUUUCUUACAAAAUAUUGCGGAUCUUUGCUAGUUUUUGGAUCUGUGUGCAUGAUAGAGAAAAGUGUGCAUAAAAGUCUUGGUGAUUUGCAUGACCCAAAAAUACGCAGAUCAAUAACUUUAGCAAAACAAUGCAUGAUUUUCAGAUAUGCAUAUCCUCCUAAGCCAGUAGUUGAAUAUUUUGAUGUGUGGAUCCUGGAUCUAGAUUUAGUGGAUUAUGACAGCGGCUGUGGAUCCUGAACAUCGAAUAUAUAGUAAGAAAAGUGUGGGCGUCAACCCUAACCCUGAUCUUUAGCGAUGGUGAUUUGCAUCAACCUCCCCUAAAAUUGUACAUUUUUUCACAUACAGCCCAACCAUUACCCAAAAUGACAAUUUUGUGGCUUGAUGAAUAAAGUGUAUUUGAUUUUUCAUUUGUAGUCUUUUUUUAUGAGCUCUUAUUUGUAAAUGACCGUAGUAGACUAGUAGUCCUUACUAUACGUAACUAUUUUUUUAACUGCUCUUAUUUGUAAAUGGCCAUAGUAUCUUUAUUUAUAUUUUUUUUCAAAAACACUUGUUACAUUUUUCAUUCUUUUUUAAGUGAGAAUAUCUUCUAUAAUUUGACAUUGUGACUAUUCCAAGUUGAGUACACCAUAUUCAGCCUUUCAACAUGAAAGGUUGUAAUUAGUAUAAACUUAAUGUAAUGUUUGGUGAUAAAAUUAAUGGUUUUUAAAAUUAUUAUUGUGUUUAAUGAAAUCAUAAUAAUCAUAUAUACUGACAAUUAUGUUUAUUUUAAAAUUUAAUUACGUGAAGAAACUGAUGCAAAUAAUGUACGUAAGGCAAAAUUGUACAUAUAUUUAUCGUUUUAUGUUCCCUCGAGUUAACAUCAAUAAGCCUAAGAAAGCUCAACUAAAAAGAUUUGAUUUUGUGAAUGUUCCGUCGGAAAGUUUGUUUGGAUGAUUUUUGGAUUAGUCACACCCGGUGUUUUGAAAUUUGCACAUUGUGCUAUAUUUAUUGUGACUUUGCAUUUAAUUUAAAGUAUAUUUGGAUUCCUUUUUUUGUUUCAACGCAAUGUUUAUUAUAGAACAUGUUAACGACAGUUGAACGAAUUUUGAUAUGCAUGCAAGAAACAUAAUACAUGCACAAACAUCCAAUGAACGAUUUACUCUCAAGUAUCAAGUUUGAUGGUAAAUAUGCAUUGAUGGUCGAUCAUUAAUUGCUAGAAGAACAUGGUAUAUGUUAUUUAUCAAAAUAUAUUUGUAAAAUUGGUCUAAGUUUGAAAAAUAAUGUUGGAUUUAACGACCUUACCAAAAUUAGCUAUAGGUAACGUCAUAAUUGUGUCAAGCAUCUCUUACAUGGUAUUGCUCCAUGAGUAAUGCCAAGAAACCCUAGCCUCCUCAUCGAUACUAUAUACUCCACCGCUAACGUUCUAUAUCCCUCAAUAAACAAGAAGAGGGAAACAAAAUAAGUUGCAUUUAUGUCAUUUUUCAACAUCUUACUUUAGUAUAAUGCUACUUAAUAUAAUUACAUAUACUACACUUUAUAUUGAAAAAAAAAAGCAAUGUAUUUUUUCUGUUGCCUCAUAAACGUUGAAAUUAUGGGUGAUUUAGAAAAAAAAAAUAGCAUCUUCUUAAGGUAAGGGUAUUUUAGGUAAUUGGAUUGUUUCAUUUUCUGACGCACAGUACAUAUAAUAUAUAAAGUACAUGUAUAGAAACAAAGUUGAUCCCACCUAUAGGCCAAGGGUGUCCAUGGACACCCCUUAUUUUUGGAUUUUUUUUAGAAGUUAUAUAAUAAAUUUUAUACGGACACCCAGUUUUCUAAAAGGCGCGCCAUGGCGUGACGCGUGGCUCCGCCGUUACGAAAAGCAUCAUAACGUUGCUGUUAGGCGUGGCGCAUGGCAAGGUGUGAUAUGGUGCGCCAUGGCGCGUUAUGGCGUGUUAUGGCGCGUGUUUUUUCGUUUGAUACAUAGUUUUUUUUCUCUUUGUUAUGUCUUUUCUAAUCGGAGAUACAAGUAUUAUGGUUUUUGUUAAAAUUUUGUUACUAGUUAUUGAUCUAACACUUCUAAAAAGUAGUUAUAUUUAAUAUAAAUUUAUAUUUAUGUGGUAAUAUAAUUUUAAAUUAAUACAAAAUCGCCGCCUUACAUCACGCCUUGAAAAACACCAUGGCUCGCCAUGGCUCUUUAAGCUUGAGGCUUGACCUUACAGCCACGUCACGCCUCACGCCAUUUAGAACCUUGCGGAUACCUAUUAAAAUUAGUUUAAUGGCUAAUAUAUAUAUAUAUAUAUAUACAGAUUUAUUUGGAUCAUAGUAUAUACUUAUAGGAAAGAAAAUCGUAUUUAUAAAUAUCAUAUUAUAUAUUUGAUUUCUCAAACUUGUUAAAUAUAAGAAAUCAAAAAAAUAUUCUUAUAAACCAGUUAAAUAGAAAAAUUAACAAAGAACUUUGAGGAAUAAAAGAUAAAAAGACUGAAAAUACAUAAAUCAUCAAAAAAAAUUACAUCAGCUUUACUCAUUGUCACCGUCCUCUACCGCUCUUAAGCCCAUCGACAUUGUUUGUUGAGCAACGACACAAUCAUCUACCACUCUCCGAUGACUGAAAAGGUUGAACUUCAUUUUCCGAUCUCCACAUAUGUCUCAAACUCUCCAUUUUUUUGUGAGUCUAUGUUCAACCUGUUGGAUUAGGUGUCUAAGCUCAUAACUAUAAUUGGUAUAAAGUUAAAAUGAUAGUAGUACAAUCCUUUUAGGUUGCCCCCGAAACAAGCAAUUGGACAGGAUUUCUUGGAGAGAGAGAAUAAAUUAUUUUUUGAUUAAUAAAUUGAAAUAGAUAAUUUAAUAAUAUAAUAUGAUAAUAUUAUAUUAAUUACAAAUUAUGAUAUUUGAUUAACAAUUAACCAGAAAUUAACUAGAAUUAAUUUUGGGGUUAAUUGGAAAAAUCUAUAGUGCAGGGGUUGUUUGACUAUUUAUUGAUAGUUGAGGAAAAGUCUCG
rnacentral:lncRNA from 1 species